rnacentral:rRNA from 1 species
CCUACGGGAGGCAGCAGUGAGGAAUAUUGGUCAAUGGGCGCGAGCCUGAACCAGCCAAGUAGCGUGAAGGAUGACUGCCCUACGGGUUGUAAACUUCUUUUAUAAAGGAAUAAAGUGAGGCACGGGUGGCUUGUUGUAGGUACUGUAUGAAUAAGGAUCGGCUAACUCGGUGCCAGCAGCAGCGGUAAUCCGGAGGAUCCGGGCGUUAUCCGGAUUUCUUGGGUUUAAAGGGAGCGUAGAUGGGUUGUUAAGUCAGGUGUGAAAGUUUGCGGCUCAACCGUAAAAUUGCAAUUGAUACUGGCAGUCUUGAGUACAGUUGAGGUAGGCGGAAUUCGUGGUGUAGCGGUGAAAUGCAUAGAUAUCACGAAGAACUCCGAUUGCGAAGGCAGCUUACUAAACUGCCACUGACAUUGAUGCUCGAAAGUGUGGGUAUCAAACAGGAUUAGAUACCCCUGUAGUC